UCCUGGUGGCUCAGAUGGUAAAGAAUCUGCCUGCAAUGCAGGAGACUCAGGUUCGAUCCCUGGAUCAGGAA
rnacentral:tRNA from 1 species